UCCCGGUUAACCCGGGCAGUCUCACUAGAGUUCCCACCUUCACGUGUUGGCAACUAGUAAUAAGGGUUGCGCUCGUUGCGGGACUUAACCCAACACCUCACGGCACGAGCUGACGACAGCCAUGCAGCACCUGUGUACAAGUCCUUACGGACGUUCCUAUCUCUAGAAACUCCCUGUACAUGUCAAAUCUGGGUAAGGUUCUUCGCGUUGCAUCGAAUUAAACCACAUGCUCCACUGCUUGUGCGGGUCCCCGUCAAUUCUUUUGAGUUUCAGCCUUGCGACUGUACUCCCCAGGCGGUAUACUUAACGCGUUCGCUACGGCACAACCAGGGUUGAGUCCGGUUACACCAAGUAUACAUCGUUUACGGCAAGGACUAC
rnacentral:misc_RNA from 1 species